rnacentral:rRNA from 1 species
AGUGAACGCUGGCGGUAGGCCUAACACAUGCAAGUCGAACGGCAGCACAGUAAGAGCUUGCUCUUACGGGUGGCGAGUGGCGGACGGGUGAGGAAUACAUCGGAAUCUACUUUUUCGUGGGGGAUAACGUAGGGACACUUACGCUAAUACCGCAUACGACCUACGGGUGAAAGCAGGGGAUCUUCAGACCUUUCGCGAUUGAAUGAGCCGAUGUCGGAUUAGCUAGUUGGCGGGGUAAAGGCCCACCAAGGCGACGAUCCGUAGCUGGUCUGAGAGGAUGAUCGGCCACACUGGAACUGAGACACGGUCCAGACUCCUACGGGAGGCAGCAGUGGGGAAUAUUCGACAAUGGGCGAAAGCCUGAUCCAGCCAUACCGCGUGGGUGAAGAAGGCCUUCGGGUUGUAAAGCCCUUUUGUUGGGAAAGAAAAGCAGCAGAUUAAAACCCCGCUGUUCUGACGGUACCCAAAGAAUAAGCACCGGCUAACUUCGUG